GGUAACGAACGCAACCCUUAUCUCGCGUUACAAGUGUCGCGAGAGACUGCCUCGGUAUACGGGGAGGAAGGCGAGGAUGACGCCAAGUCCGCAUGUCCCUCUGAUGCCCUGGGCUACACACGUGCUACAAUGCCCGCCACAAUGGGUCGCGAAGCCGCGAGGCAGAGCUAACCCCAUCAAAAGCGGGCCCAGUUCGGAUUGGAGUCUGCAACCCGACUCCAUGAAGUUGGAAUCGCUAGUAAUCGCAGGUCAGCUAUACUGCGGUGAAUACGUUCUCGAGU
rnacentral:rRNA from 1 species